CUUGAUAUUGUUCAUGGGUUUGGUGCACGAUUCAAGCACAAUUCCAGAACAGGAGAAUUCCCACGGACAUCAGCAGGUACCUGAAGAUCUCCAAACCAUUCCUUCCUCCUGGGUGUGCACACAUUAAAGCGGGAGACUCCAAAGGGCAAAUUGCUGGAUCCAGGUUCUGGAUCAACAGGAGUUCAGAGAGUCAUGGAUCU